GGAGUUUGAUGGUCCUGGCUUGUUAUGGGAGGCUUUUGCAGAGCCUGAGUUUGGGAGCCCUACACAAGCCCGGUUCGGUGAUCUCUUGGAGUGGAGGGAGAGCAGGUAUGACUAGGACGACACUCACGAAAUUGAGCAAGACCUGGCUCACCUAGCAACCCGGGAGUGGGAACUGGAGCAGGACUACCGAGAUCUCUUCCACUCCAUUGAGAAGAUUCAGCAGGACAGCAAGG